UGAGGAAUAUUGGACAAUGGGCGGGAGCCUGAUCCAGCCAUGCCGCGUGCAGGAAGACUGCCCUAUGGGUUGUAAACUGCUUUUCUACGGGAAGAAACACCCCUUCGUGAGGGGGCUUGACGGUACCGUACGAAUAAGGAUCGGCUAACUCCGUGCCAGCAGCCGCGGUAAUACGGAGGAUGCGAGCGUUAUCUGGAAUCAUUGGGUUUAAAGGGUCCGUAGGCGGGCGUUUAAGUCAGUGGUGAAAGAACGCGGCUCAACCGUCGAAGUGCCAUUGAUACUGGUCGCCUUGAAUGAUUGUGAAGGGGGUAGAAUAUGUGGUGUAGCGGUGAAAUGAUUAGAUAUCACAUAGAAUACAGAUUGCGAAGGCAGGUCGCUAACGAGGCAUUGACGGUGAUGGACGAAAGAGUGGGGAGGGAACAAGAUUAGAUACCCUGGUAGUCCACGCCGUAAACGAUGGAUACUAGCUGUCCGUC
rnacentral:rRNA from 1 species